rnacentral:rRNA from 1 species
GGCUCUUUGAAAUAAAUACAUAAAGAGUCGAACCUGCCCAGUGAUUUAUUUAAACGGCCGCGGUACUCUGACCGUGCAAAGGUAGCAUAAUCAUUUGCCCUAUAAUUGAGGGCUUGUAUGAACGGUUUGACAAGAGCAUAACUGUCUCUUAAAAAUUUUAUAGAAUUUGGUUUUUAGGUGAAGAAACCUAAAUAUAAUUGAAAGACAAGAAGACCCUAUCGAGCUUUAGAGUAAUUAAUUAAAAAGUAUGAUUAAAAUAAUUAAUUUUAGUUAAAAACUUUGGUUGGGGCGACUGAGGAACAUAUAAAGCUUCUUUUAUUAAAAUAUGCCUAUAAGCUAUGAUCCAAAAAAUUUGAUUAAAAAAAUUAGUUACCGUAGGGAUAACAGCAUAAUCUUUUUCAAGAGUUCUUAUCGAAAAAAAGGUUUGUGACCUCGAUGUUGGACUAGGAUAUCUUAAAGAUGCAGAAGUCUUUAAAAGUUGGUCUGUUCGACCAUUAAAAUCCU